GAGACUCUGUGCGCGUGCAUAUCAAUAAGCGGAGGAAAAGAAACUAACAAGGAUUCCCUUAGUAACGGCGAGUGAAGCGGGAAGAGCUCAAAUUUGAAAUCUUCAAGGUUCUACCUUGACGAAUUGUAGUUUAAAGAAGUGUUUUCUGUUAGAUGAGUAGCAAAAGUUCCUUGGAAUGGGACAUCAUAGAGGGUGAGAAUCCCGUAUUUGGUUAUUCAUUCUAGCUUUGUGAUACACUUUCAAAGAGUCGGAUUGUUUGGGAAUGCAGUCCAAAAUGGGUGGUAAAUUUCAUCUAAAGCUAAAUAUUGGCGAGAGACCGAUAGCGAACAAGUACCGUGAGGGAAAGAUGAAAAGAACUUUGAAAAGAGAGUUAAACAGUACGUGAAAUUGUCAAAAGGGAAGCGUUUGACACCAGUGUUGUUUUUCCGAAAAUCAAUUACGAAUGGCUUGAUUUUGUGUUGUAUUGACCUUAUCAGCUUUCUUCACUUUUUUCGAGUCUUUCUUAAUGCACUUUUCGGUUAACAAGUCAACAUCAAUUUCUUUUGUUGUAAAAGAGUAUUCGGAAGGUGGCUUUCUUUUCGGAGAAAGUGUUUAUAGCCCUAUACUUCUACAAUCGGAGAGAUUGAGGUCUGCAGCGUAGAUCCUUCGGGGUUAGAUACACUUCGUGCUAAGUUGUAGCUUUUCAUAGACAACUUGUUGACUAUGUUUAGUCAUGCGGCUUACUCGCUUAUGCUAUUUUACCUACGCUAGGAUGUUGACUGAUAUGUAGUCGUA
rnacentral:rRNA from 1 species